rnacentral:rRNA from 1 species
AUGGAGAAAACGCGUGGAGCCAUCCUCCUCCUGCUACUCGUCGCCGAUUUCGGCUUCGGCGCGGCCCAAAACGCCACCACCGGCGAAGCACAUGGAUUCCACGUCGGGGUGAUCCUCGACCUGGGAUCGCCGGUGGGCAAAGGGGCGCGGACCAGCGUUCUGCUGGCCGUCCAGGAUUUCUACGCCGCCCACCAGAACUACAGCACAAAGCUCGUUCUCCACAUCAGGGACUCCAUGGGCAGUAAUGUCCGGGCUGCAUCAGCAGCUAUUGAAUUAUUGAAGGAUUACAAAGUUCAAGCCAUCAUUGGUCCCCAGAAAUCAUCUGAAGCUGUGUUCAUAUCCAAUCUUGGAAAUGUAACCCAAGUCCCCAUAGUAUCGUUCACAGCAACAAGCCCCUCUCUCACUUCUGAUAGUAUGCCAUAUUUUUUACGAGCAACAUUAAAUGACUCAGCUCAGGUGAAGAGCAUUGCCUCACUUGUACAAGCAUAUGGAUGGAGAGAAGUGGUGGCAGUAUACGAAGACACUGACUAUGGAAGAGACAUUCUACCAUACCUCAUUUAUGUACUUCAAGAAAUUGAUGUCCGUGUUCCAUAUCGCAGUGUCAUCCCUUUGGCAGCAACAAGUGAAACCAUUCUACAAGAACUCAAUGGAUUGAUUGCAAGGCAAACAAGGGUGUUUAUUGUUCAUAUGUCAUCCACUAUGACUACCCUUCUUUUUAUGAAGGCAAAAGAGUUAGGGAUGAUGAACAAAGGGUUUGUGUGGAUCAUCACAAAUGGAGUGGCAAACAUCAUCGACUCACUCAAUCCAAGUGUCCUUCAGGCAAUGAAUGGUGUGCUAGGAGUAAGGUAUUAUGUUCCUAGAUCACAAGAACUUGAUGACUUAUCCAUAAGGUGGAAUAGAAUGUACCAACAGGAUAACCCAGAUGCAUCACCAUUUAAUAAACUAAACAUUGUUGGUCUAUGGGGCUAUGAUACGACAUGGGUAUUGGCACAGGCAGCAGAAAAUGUUGGGAUAUCAAGUGCCAGAAAUAAGCAACCAUGGUACAUUAAAAAUUCUACAUGUUUGGAAUCCAUGGAUAUUUCCAUUAAGGGUCAUAAACUAUUAACAUCAAUUGUACAAAAUAAGUUCAGAGGUUUAAGUGGUGACUUUGAUCUUACAGACGGACGACAACUUAAAGUUUCUGUGUUCCAAAUAAUAAAUGUGGUUGGGAGAGGUUGGAGAGAAAUUGGGUUUUGGAAUGUGAAAAGUGGACUUUCACGGGAGUUAAAGCAAGAUUACUUCAAAAAGACAGGACCAGCUUCAAUGCCUGAUCUAAAUCCUGUAAUUUGGCCGGGAGAGUCGACCGAAAAACCAAUGGGCUGGGAAAUUCCUACAGAUGGUAAGAAGCUUAGAGUAGGUGUGUACUCAAGCGAAAAUCCGGAGUUUAUAAAGACAUACAAAGAUCCUGUCACUAAGGCAACAACAGCAAGUGGCCUUUCAGUUGACAUAUUUGAGGAGGCAGUAAAGAGGCUACCUUUUCCAGUUUCAUAUGACUACAUAGAAUUUGACACAGGUGAUACAGCAACUUCGGGGAGCUACAAUGAUUUUGUUUAUCAAGUCUAUCUUCAGGAAUACGACAUAGCGGUUGCAGAUACUACUAUAAGAUACAAUAGAACAUUGUAUGUCGACUUCACUGUACCAUACACAGAAUCUGGAGUAGGGAUGAUUGUUCCGGUCAAGGAAAACUUGAAUAUGGACAUGUGGCUUUUCUUGAGACCAUUAAGCACUGCGAUGUGGUUUGGUAGCAUCAUAUUCUUUAUGUACACAGGAUUUGUUGUCUGGCUUCUAGAGUAUCUAAAGGACAAUGAACAUGAUCCCUUUUCACUCGAACAACUGGCGAUUACAAUAUUCUCCAUUUUUGAAGAGAAGGAGGAGCUGAAACACUUUCUGGCUAGAAUUGUUCUACGUGUAUGGAGGGUUGUUCUUCUGGUACUUGCAGCAAGUUAUACGGCAAGCUUUGCAUCAAUGCUUACUGUACAACAGCUUUCACCAACAGUGACUGAUGUUCAUGAACUACAGAAGAAUGGAGAAUACGUAGGGUUCCACCAAGGUUCCUUUGUAGAAGGCCUACUGUUGGGGAUUGAUUUUGAUGCAUCAAAGAUCAGGGGCUAUGCUACACCUGACGAUUUCUAUAGUGCUCUUUCCAAUGGAAGCAUUGCUGCACUUGUAGACGAAGUCCCAUACAUCAAACUUUUUCUCGCAAAGUACAACAAAGGUUACACGAUGGUGGGGCCAAUUUAUAAGAGUGCAGGUUUUGCAUUUGCGCUUCCCAAGAAUUCUCCGCUACGUGCUGAAUUAUCGAGGGCAAUACUCAACAUAACAGGAGGAGAGACCAUCAUUCAAUUUGAAAAGAAAUGGAUAGGUCAAAAUAGCCAUGAAAAUGAUGGCACACUUGAUGGUUCAGGCGCUAUCACUUUUGAAAGUUUUGGGGGAUUAUUCCUCCUAACUGGAAUUGUGACAACAUGUUCCCCUCUUGUAGCCGUGCUGAUGAGGCGCUACAAAAAACAACAAGAAAAUGCAGAGAACAAAGGAGAUGGCCAGAAUGAAUCUGGACCUGGGCAGGAAAAGGAGAAGAUGGAAGAGCAAGGAGAUCAAAACAGCAAUGGACAGGGACUUGAAUUGAUGAAGAGCCAAACAACAUUGUCAAUGAAUGCAUGCACACACCCAAGAUAA